rnacentral:sRNA from 21 species
GUCAGGAACCCCCUAGCGAAAGCUAGAGGCUUACGCAAGUAAGCCUGGACUUGACCAGACUCAGCCCUGGGCUUUCUCCCUUGUGGAGAAGGUCAUCGAGCUACGAUAGAUGAGAAGUGUUUGUGUUCCUACCUACAGGUGCGUGCCAGCCUGUAGCUCUAGA